GCCCGCUUAGCUCAAUGGUAGAGUAAUUGGCUUACAUCCAAUAGGUUGACGGUUCGAGUCCGUCAGUGGGUUCCA
rnacentral:tRNA from 1 species